AUGAACGCUGGCUACAGGCUUAACACCUGCAAGUCGCGGGGAAACGACGGGGAAGCUUGCUUCCCCGGGCGUCGACCGGCGCACGGGUGAGUAACGCGUAUCCAACCUGCCUCUGACUGAGGGAUAACCCGUCGAAAGUCGGCCUAAUACCUCAUGGCAUCGUCUGCGGGCAUCCAACGACGAUUAAAGAUUUCAUCGGUCAGGGAUGGGGAUGCGUCUGAUUAGCUUGUUGGCGGGGUAACGGCCCACCAAGGCUACGAUCAGUAGGGGUUCUGAGAGGAAGGUCCCCCACAUUGGAACUGAGACACGGUCCAAACUCCUACGGGAGGCAGCAGUGAGGAAUAUUGGUCAAUGGGCGGGAGCCUGAACCAGCCAAGUAGCGUGCAGGAUGACGGCCCUAUGGGUUGUAAACUGCUUUUAUGCGGGGAUAAAGUGAGGGACGUGUCCUUCAUUGCAGGUACCGCAUGAAUAAGGACCGGCUAAUUCCGUG
rnacentral:rRNA from 1 species